rnacentral:rRNA from 1 species
GAUGAACGCUGGCGGCGUGCCUAAUACAUGCAAGUCGAGCGAACAGACGAGGAGCUUGCUCCUCUGACGUUAGCGGCGGACGGGUGAGUAACACGUGGAUAACCUACCUAUAAGACUGGGAUAACUUCGGGAAACCGGAGCUAAUACCGGAUAAUAUAUUGAACCGCAUGGUUCAAUAGUGAAAGACGGUUUUGCUGUCACUUAUAGAUGGAUCCGCGCCGCAUUAGCUAGUUGGUAAGGUAACGGCUUACCAAGGCGACGAUGCGUAGCCGACCUGAGAGGGUGAUCGGCCACACUGGAACUGAGACACGGUCCAGACUCCUACGGGAGGCAGCAGUAGGGAAUCUUCCGCAAUGGGCGAAAGCCUGACGGGGCCACGCCGCGUGAGUGAUGAAGGUCUUCGGAUCGUAAAACUCUGUUAUUAGGGAAGAACAAAUGUGUAAGUAACUAUGCACGUCUUGACGGUACCUAAUCAGAAAGCCACGGCUAACUACGUG